rnacentral:siRNA from 1 species
UAUAUUUCGAUCCGUAACCUCGAC